rnacentral:rRNA from 1 species
AUGAAAAUUAGCGGGUGGAAGGAAAAAUUACUAUCUACAGGGGGAAAGGAAAUUCUUCUUAAGUCUGUUGUCCAAUCCAUCCCUACCUAUGCGAUGUCCGUCUUCAAAAUUCCUAAAAAUAUUUGUAAAGGAAUAACUGACGCGAUGUUGUAUUUUUGGUGGGGUGAUGACGACAACCAUAGGAGGAUGCAUUGGAUGGCAUGGUGGAAAAUGUGUGUCCUAAAAAACUAAGGUGGUAUGGGAUUUCGUGAUAUCCAUUGUUUUAACUUGGCAUUGCUGCCUAAACAGGCUUGGCGCCUUUGA